AGGAUGAACGCUAGCGGGAGGCCUAACACAUGCAAGCCGAGCGGUAGAAGAUCUUCGGAUCUUUGAGAGCGGCGUACGGGUGCGUAACACGUGUGCAACCUACCUUUAUCUGGGAGAUAGCCUUUCGAAAGGAAGAUUAAUACCCCAUAAUAUAUUAGAUGGCAUCAUUUGAUAUUGAAAACUCCGGUGGAUAGAGAUGGGCACGCGCAAGAUUAGAUAGUUGGUGAGGUAACGGCUCACCAAGUCUGUGAUC
rnacentral:rRNA from 1 species